GUGAGGAAUAUUGGUCAAUGGGCGAGAGCCUGAACCAGCCAAGUCGCGUGAAGGAAGACAGUCCUAAGGAUUGUAAACUUCUUUUAUACGGGAAUAACGGGCGAUACGAGUAUUGCAUUGAAUGUACCGUAAGAAUAAGCAUCGGCUAACUCCGUGCCAGCAGCCGCGGUAAUACGGAGGAUGCGAGCGUUAUCCGGAUUUAUUGGGUUUAAAGGGUGCGUAGGUUGUUCGGUAAGUCAGCGGUGAAACCUGAGCGCUCAACGUUCAGCCUGCCGUUGAAACUGCCGGGCUUGAGUUCAGUGGCGGCAGGCGGAAUUCGUGGUGUAGCGGUGAAAUGCAUAGAUAUCACGAGGAACUCCGAUUGCGAAGGCAGCUUGCCAUACUGCGACUGACACUGAAGCACGAAGGCGUGGGUAUCAAACAGGAUUAGAUACCCGGGUAGUCC
rnacentral:rRNA from 1 species